GUGAAGGUGGGAAGUGGACAUCCUAGCCCUGCACCGCUCCUGUGAGGGAAAAUAUAUUAAAGUGUGCAGGCAGCUUUUCAAACAGUCGUGGACAGGAGCUAUAAAUUGUGUUGGUCCCUGUAAACACGAUUCGUUAAGUGCCAAAAGGUGCCUGGCAGGCGCCCCUCUGUUAUGAAACGUGAAGGGGAGUUGUCAUGGAAUUCUCUUCCCUUUAUUGGUACAGUCCACACCUGGUAAACACAAGCUCCCUUAAAUCCAGGCUACCUGUAAAAUAGCAGACGGAUAAGGUGACCUUGUAACGACAAGUCACCACUGAUGCCUUAACGGUUUCAAACGCUUUUUUUUAAACAUUUAUUGCUCUUGAAUAGAAACCUGGCUUGACUCUGAGUGGCUUUCUCAGCCCUAAGGCCCCUCAAACCAUUAAGAACCUAGUAUACUCGCCAAAAUGUGUGAUUGUCAAUUCUGAAAUGGAUCUGUUUUUCGUACUUCCCAAGAAACUCCCGCCCCCCAUUUUUCAUUUCUAUACAAAUUAGGGUUGUGUUCAAGGGCCGUGACAAGUCCAUAUGCUUUAAAGGAGAUAGGGGAGGCUCCAGAUAAAGAAUUUGAUUUCAGCUCUCGGCUCCUGUAAUUUACACACACUCUUUUUCCACUUAAACUGUCUCGUGAUCUGGGAGACGUGGCAGCGCUUGCUAUUGCCAACGCUCAUCACAUCCAAGAUAACAUUCUGCAUGAAUGAUGAGAAUGUUGAGAAACGUGCAUCAGGUGAAAGGAGGCCAAGGAAAUGCAGGUUUACAGGUUGAACACGCAUCAUUUCACUCGGCCAGGCAGGAAAGAAAUGGGGCAUUUGUGAGGACGGAGAUCAAUGUGUAAUUACCGUAUUUUAUGUGCACCUUUGCGAUCAAUCAUUAACAACGUGAAAGUGUGUAAAAAUUAUGGGAUCGUUAUUUUUAAUGUUUCACUGCUGUCGUAUUGAACAGAACAAAAUCAGCAAUAGGCCUGCUCAUUUUUUUACUCUUAAGCCAAUAAUACCCAGAACAAAUGCACAGACCUGUUCUACAGUGUUAACUUGAACAGUUUCAACUCAAAAUAUGGAGAUAAGUGUUGGAGAAAUCUCACCACAUCCAGCUAGAAAGAUAAAGUUAGUGAUUUUUUUAAAAUCUUUUUUCCUAGAUUAAAAAUCUAAGCGGCUUUGGUUUAUACUUUUUCUGAACAAGGAAAGUGUGUUUUCAUUUACCCUAAAUUUACAUACAGAUUGUUAUAUUCAGUGAGUCAAGGUAAUACUGUUAAUGGCACAAGGGUCUUUUUAAUUGAAGCCAUUAUGGUGAUGUUUACAUGUGAAGUUAAAAAGAAUUUGUGCAUUACUAGCUGACCUUGCCCUGACUUAGGCUAGUCCUUUCAAACUGAUUAUAAAAAGCUAAUGAUUUGCAUAUUCAUUGGUUUCAAGUAUGAACUCAUUGCAACCCUCAUGACUGAGAAUAUUUGUAUUCACAAACCUCAGUAAUCAACAUUAUCAACUGUGUCCUUAUGAAAGGUUAGGCAUAUAUGCAUACUAAUAGCCACUUUAUAGCUUUUACGAACUCACUUGAAAAUUCAAGCUUUUCACUGUGUCUUUUGGUGAUCCUUGCUAAUGUCAGAGUUUAGAGUGACUUUCAACCUUCCAUGGUAGCCAUUGUUUUAAUUUCAUAACAGAAUACAAGCAAGCAGUAGUUUUAUAUGCUGGAUAAUUAUUAAUAUGCUUUUUUUAAAUUAAUGCAUUGGCAAAAAGUUUGUGUUUGUGGUGCAGCCGAUGUGUUCAAAGCCAAUGUAUUAUAGAUACAGAAUGGUGGCAAAGGAAAAAGCGGAAUAUAUAACAGAUGCAGAGGCUUCCAUGCAGAGAACAUGGGUUCACUGAAAGGUCUGAGUAUGGACAGAAGAAGAAGAAAAAAAAUGCUCUGGCCUUGUAGUCACCAGAUCCCAACCCCACUGAGCACCUAUGGUAAAUGUUGGACCAACAUGUUAGACAGCCCUCUCCAUCACCAUUAUCAAAACACCAAAUGAGGGACUAUCUGUUGGAGGAAUGGCUUUAAUCCCUCCAGCAGAGUUCCAGACUUUUAGAAUCUAUGCCAAAGAACACUGAAGCUGUUCCUUUUCCUUUUGUUUGUCAGCCAUCUGUACAUUCCUGCUGAAAAUAUACACAAAAUGCUCACUGUCUACAUCUUUUGUUUUCCUUACAGGAUCCACUUGUGGCAGCUAAAGUACGAUUAAGGAAAGUUAACAUUAGGGAAAUAAAGGUGAUAAACUGAGGUAUGAGACAUGGCACAAACCAACACACUUAUUUGAACAUGAAAGGAAAGGAGCAUUUAUAGAAGCAGAGGUAUCUGACUGGCAGUGCUUGGCCCUCAGCUGCUUCCCAGGUCACUGCUGUAAGUGUGUGUCAUUAGUCAGUUGAACAAAUAAAUAAGAAUUAAGUUACUUUGAGUUCAUAUGCAAUCUUGGAAAGGUUCUGGUCUUCACUGAGGCAAAUGCAAAAAGGUAAACAAAGGAUACGCUCAGUAAUCAAAUCUCUCUCCUCUCAUUUCCUUUGUGUGGAAAAAUCAUCUUAGUUGUGUAUGUGUGUGCGCGGUUCGCUUUUGUGGAGGGCUCACAGCAGUUGAGAGAUGAUAGAGGGAUAACAUUUUCAGCAUCGUGCUGCUCUGUUAUAAUUAGAACAAAUACGCCAGGAAAAUGCAGGCUUGUACACAUACACACACAUUUGUAGGCUUUCUACAGAGUGAAUAAUUCCACAGCUAAAAAUACCCCUGAAAACAAACGGCAUUAAAUCAACCUCAGCAAUGACAAGAAACCCCCCCCCACAGCAUUAAUAUACUGAUUUCUGAACAGCCAAUUUUCAUCGCAGUAAACAAAAAGAAUAAUCAAUACCAGAUGCUAGCUGCAUAGUCGCUAAUUUUAGGUCAUCAUGACCAUCAGAAGUGCUGAAUAUGUUUGAACCACAAAAUGGCUUCCUUGAUCUCCAUGAAGCUAAGGCUGUUUUAAAUGGUUGGUUACGUACAACUGUACCUUAAAUCUGUCUGUCUCUAAUUACCAGGGGAUUGAAAACCAACUGGUGAUAUACUGUGAAAGACACGAUUUGAAACUGUUAGAAAUGACUUUAAAGCAUUUGUUAAGCUCUGUCUUUUCGCUGUCUGUCUGGAGGAAAUUAAUUGGUACCAGUGAGCCAGUGUAAUCAGUCGCAGGAAGAAAAAAAUGUAUAACAUGCAUAAGGGAGUGUGACCUUGGUCUUGUACACAAGUGGGAAGCUAACUCAAAAAACCCACAACUUCCAGUAUGGAAAUUUAUUUGAAUAAGAGUCAUUGCAGAGAGGUAAUGUCAAACAAGCAUCCUUCACUCAAAGCAGCACCGAAGAGGAAAUAGGCUUAGUGUUCCAGACGUGAAUGGGUUGCCAAUAUAAAGUGAGCAAUCCAGUCUGCUUUAGCAUUUAGCCAGUUUUUUCACAGUAAAGAGAGACCAGGAAAGAUAUAAGAGGAAACAAGAGCCAAAGUCCCUUCUGCAGCAGUUGCAGUACAUGGACAGUUCCCCCAGGCGAUCACGAUGACCCUGAUGAAGGCCACAAGCCGCAACGCAUUGGUCUGACAAUGUUGUUCUUUAUACCACAAGUGUUGCUGGAGUUUUGACCUCUUCAGACCUUUUCCCUUCUCCAUGCACCUUGGAGUUUCCUUUUUUGGCCUGUCCUGUGAUAUUACAGCUGCCUGGUUGAAACUGC